UACGGAAAUUAUAUUUUUAUUGCGCACUCUGGUUAAACCGUGUUGCAUUCUGGUUAUUUUUUUACAACCAUCAAUAAAAUUUUCAUCCUAGUAAAGUCUUUAGAAAUUUCUCCCAGCGACACCAGUCUCAAAUAAUUAAAAUGGGUGACGCAGGUAAACUCUACAUUGGUCAACUUGACUACAAUGCUGAUGAGAGAGAUCUUGAAGAUUUAUUUGGAAAGUACGGAACUGUAGUUAAAGUGUCUAUUAUUAAAGACCGUGAAACACAGAGACCUAGAGGAUUCGCUUUCGUUGAGUUCGACAGUGAAGAAGAUGCUGAAGCUGCAAUAGACGGAUGUAACGGACAGGACGUUAACGGAAGACAAAUAACUGUUGCAAGAGCUAAAGCUCGAAGUGGUGGUGGUGGAGGUGGCGGUUACAGCAGCGGUGGUAGUGGAGGCGGUGGUUAUCGUGGAAGUAGAGGUGGUCGUGGUGGUGGUGGUGGUGGUGACAGAUACGGUGGUGGUCGUUCAAGUUAUGGAGGUAGUGGUGGUCGUGGUGGAAGCCGAGGUGGUCGUGGUGGAUACAGCAGUGGCGGUAGCAGUGGAGGAAGCUAUGGAGGUGGUCGAGGUGGUGGUAGAUAUUAAAUGGUUUUCAGUCAUUGGUUCAAGUGGUUAUACUGUCUAGUGUGAAAUUGUCAUGGAAUAAGUUUAUCAAUAGGUCACGAUAUUAAUGAAUAAUAACAGUUGACAGUUUAUUGAAGUUCUUGUUCAAGUCCUUCUAAUGAUUGGUUAGUUAUUCUAAUUAACGGAAUGUAUAAAAAUUCGUCUGAAAAUUAUGAGCUGUAAUAGAGUUUUCUAGCAAGAAAAAAAGAAGAAAUCUCUUAAACUUAAAAUUUUUUUUAAAAUAAAUUUUUCUUUUAAAUA
rnacentral:misc_RNA from 1 species